UGGUCAAGAUGUCCUUGUGAGGGUACACUCGGAAUGCCUCACAGGAGACAUUUUUGGAUCUGCUAGAUGUGACUGUGGCAACCAGCUUGCACUUGCGAUGCAGCAGAUAGAAGCGGCUGGUAGGGGUGUGCUGGUGUACCUCCGAGGGCAUGAAGGAAGAGGCAUAGGUUUGGGGCACAAACUACGUGCCUAUAACCUGCAGGACGAUGGGCGUGACACUGUGGAAGCAAAUGUGGAGCUCGGAUUGCCCGUUGACUCUAGAGAGUACGGAAUUGGUGCUCAGGUACUUCUUACUUAAGUGAGAAACUAUUGUGAAAGGUCCUGCAUAAUUUAGCUUCUGAAUGAGGUUGGUUCAUGGUCAUCGUGAUUAUGCUUCAUGGAAUCGAGAAGAUUAAUAAACUAAUAUCGUUAAUCUGACAUUAAAGGUAGUUGAAUUUCAGUGACUGUUUCAUAUAUCGUAUGUACAUCAUAUGUAGGACUGACUAGAGGAAGCCGGUGACUAAAGCAGAGCUUCAAAUUCAUCUAAAAAAGAUGAGAUUUGAUUAAUACAAAGAAUCACGCCACCAUCAAACUCUUCAUAGCAUUUGACGCCUUUGUGUUGAUGCUUGACAUAUUGACUAACUGCAGAUGUUGCGUGACCUGGGAGUCAGGACGAUGAAGCUGAUGACGAACAACCCGUCAAAGUACGUGGGGCUUAAAGGUUAUGGCUUGGCCAUUGCUGGGAGAGUCCCUCUAGUAACUCCAAUAACAAACGAGAACAAGAGAUACUUGGAAACGAAACGGUCCAAGAUGGGGCACAUCUAUGGUGCGGAAGUCAAAGGCCGCUUUAGCAAUCUCAUAAGCAAAAACAGCAAGCCAAACGGUACUGUUUCUUCUGAUCCGGUUGUGUCUGACUCAUAGCAACUGCUGGAUCAUUCGACUGCUAAUGGUUUAUUUGGGGGGGAUACAAGCAAAUUCACUGACGGAUAGUGUUAUUACUUUAUUUUUUAAGCCCUAAGGUCAAGAACAUUCAGAUGCCGGUUGACCAUGAGUUAUUAUAAGGUUCAUUGUUGUUCUAUUGAUGUCAAUUCAUCCAUUUUGUACGGCGAGAAGGUGGAAGACCAGCCUCUUAGUGGAACUUCCUUUUUUGUUAUUGAUGGAUGGCAAGAUUUAUCCUUUAAUUCUACUUUCCUUGAAUCUGUCUGCAUUGAUAUAUAGAGACCAUUGCAUAUAUCAUGAAAGCAGGGCUGGUGGAGGACGUUCUUUCCUUUUCUGUGACCAUCUCAAUGAUCUCAUUGGUGACAUUUAUCACUUAAAGGAAUAUACUAAAGUCCCUGUUAGAUCAACUCUCCAUGCUACGUAUAAAGACUUGUGUACCUGGAAUUUUGGAAGAUGCAGUUUCCCUUUGUAAUGUUCACCAGUCUCCAAAAAAACAUCAGGAAAUACAUCACCAUAUAAGUACUUGCAGCAGAAAUGUUUACUUUCUUGAUCUGAUUAACUAAUCAAAACAUAGGGAAGCAGAGAUUUUUCUGUAGACAUGCCAAAGUUUACGCCUAUAUCUAGAUAUUCCUCCUGAAAAGGGAGACUUUGAGUUCAAUCUUAUCAAUUCUAACAAGCUCGAACACAGACAUCUCCUUCCUCUAGAGAAGUUCCUCUCUGAAAUGCACCCCCUUUCAAUCUUACCAAUUCUAACGAGCUUGAACACACAGACAUCUCCUUCCUCUACAGAAGUUCCUCUCUGAAAUGCGCCCCUUUCAAUCUUAUAAGUUCUAACAAGCUCAAACACAGACAUCUCCUUCCUCUAGAGAAGUUCCUCUCUGAAAUGUGCCCCAACCGGCGAAGAGCUUUCCUGAGCCAUGCUGUGGGUGGUACAGUAGCUUCACUGGUCAUGAUCCAUUUGACUAUUUAAGAGUUGCAGUUUUCAUUCUUCCAUUGAUGCAUCCCUUUAAAACCCCGCCUGGGACAGUCCACAGAGUUGAUUUUUGAUCAGCAAAUGAUCCAUGAGUAAGAACGUAAAAGGUCUGAUGACUAACACAAGUAACGUUAACCAGAACACAUGUAUAAUCUCAUAGGCAAACCCAAAUCAUGUAGGUAUACAGUGGUACCUUACGAGAAGGUAGUCGAUUUCAUUCCUUUCCAAGUUUUGCACAUAGGAACUAUUAUCUCUAUCUUUUCCUACCACAUUUUGCUUCAAUAGAUUAUGUAUUGGAUAACUACUGUGAAGGAAGGAUAUUGCAGCUCGUCCUUGUUGGCUGCUUCAAGAGCUGUAAUUACCCGCGAACGUUUAGAACUACGGGAAGCCGGCAUGGUGAGGCUCACCUUGCAUUUUGAAUUUUCAAUCCUACUUGAAUUAGUUAGGCAGAGAGCAUAAAGAAAAAUGACACAAAGCACAUGCAUUACUAAUAGGUAAGAUUCGCACACCUUCUGAAUCAUGUUGCAAAAGCUUUGCUCUUUGAUCAGUUUGAAAGCCUUUCGAUUUGGAACCUGAUGCGAGUCCAAUUGCAUGGGAAGUAGUAGCAUCAUCGACAUAACUAACGGGAUCAGAUUUCAUCACCUUGCAAGGCUUGUGAUGAUAUGGUUUUAGAUGCAAUUCAUUUUUCUCUUUUCUCUUCAGUGAGAAACCAUCUAAAUUUUGAAGUCCGAUUGAGAGAUUACACUGAUCAUCAGCGUCUCCCAUUCUAGCUGUCAACGUUCAUUGGCAGAUAAUCUAUCACCGAAGCGCUUUUGUCAAAUAUGAGUAAGUGAAAAUCUGAGUCCUCUACGUAUUUGAAGACCAAAAGGUGGCCCUCACAAAUAGAGUAGUGCUCCAUAAAUUCCUUCCAUCCCUUUGAUAAAGAACCAUAUCAUCCCAUUUUUCCAACUCCACCCUUCAAAUUCCAGCAUUUGGAACCCUCAAACACACUGUCUUCGGAAGAUUCUUGCAAUACUUUCUCACAAGCCUCUUUGGAAUACCCUAGUUUCAUAAUAUAUAAAGUCAUCAUAAACAAUAAACAAGCAGUGCCUGAUAUAUUCUAACAUUAACCAACUCGAAAGAAAAGGCGAGUUUGUAGUACGCUUCAACCUUCCAAGCCUUGGUAGGUCGAAAAGAUUUUUUAAGAAAAGAACUUACAACCUUCCAAUUUGAAGUGUCUGAGAUAGUAUGAUCUUGAAGAAAUGAGGUGUCUCCCGCGCAAAACUUCGCGGGUUUUCUACGUCAUCUCUCGGGCGACAAGCAGUCAUCCCUUGAACACAAGUUGAGUAAUGGGUUGUAACAUUUGAAUCUAACCUAGCUCUGUGCGAGCCACCUUUGUUAAAUGAAGCAUUUAAUUGGAGAAGACAUUAGAUAACGGCUAGCUUUGGGCGGCUGUUCAUCUUCUCUAUAGAUGUCAAUGGGUGACGAACUGUUAGCUUAGCUUACAGUACUAUGAAGAAAGAUUGAUGAAUAGGUGAAUGCUUUAGGAAGCCCUUUAAGAACUCCUUGGGAAUCAAACGCAUUAAAAUCAGGAUGAUGCAUUAGUUGAUGAAUAUUAUGUCAAGAAUAAUGUCAGAGAUGCUAACACUUGUGCGUCGCUUCAUAGUUACUAAGACCGAUAUCGAUGGAAUUAAUUUACAAAGUGACAUGUAAGAUUUUUAUUGAAUGUUUGAGUAUGGCACAUUUAUUCAUGUAUCGAGUUCUUGUGGUAUCUCUGAUAUAUUACGCUUGCAUCAAUAAGUAAUUAGUAUGAUCAUUGCCACUUGAUGUUCAGUCCAAAGACUUGACCAACGAGUAGGUCGAUGAGGGCAUUAGGCAUAAAAUCUCUUUCACAGACUUGCCAAUGAUCAAAUAAUUAAUUAACUUUGAUGGGGUCUAAGUAAUUAAUUAGCUUUGCGUGCUGAGCUAUAGAAGGGAAUUGCUUGUCUUGGCCUGCUCUUUUGCACCCGUGGCUUGGCGGAUCUCGGCAGACUAUGCCUUGAGACCAAACAUAACCUCUAGGCGUUAGAGAUGAUUAGGGUAAAAGCAGAGAUAAUUCACUGAAACUCAGAUCGGCAUCCAUUACGUUUGAGGAAGUCAACUUAUUAUUUCCUCUGAUGAGUCCAGAUUAAUCUAGGCAUUGAACAAUAUUAUUGCUAGAAAGGUCUUACUAGUAAUUCCUAUGACUAAGAAAUGGAAAUUAGACAUUGGGUACUUGCUGCAAACGGGUUGCGAACACCGUGUUUUUCUAGGCAAGAUUUUUUACUGACGAAAAAAAUCAUUCACAUAAACACAAAGAGUACGCUACAUGACUUCGUUUUUGACACUUAAGUGAUUACUUUCACUUAAGUGUCACUCGUGAUUAAAAAUGACACUUAAGUGUCAUUUUUAAUACCAAGUGACACUUAAAUGAUCACUUAUACUAUAACUUGAUACUUAAGUAAUCAUUUUUUUAACCAUGAUUGUCACUUAAGUGAAUGGAAGACAACAUCGUUUUAGACAAGGAUUGUUGAGUGGAGAUUCCGGUGAAUCACAUUGACUAGUUUUAUUAUUAAAAAUAAUGCCACAUUAGAUUUUCGGCAAACUCGUGCCAAGUUUUGGUACUCUUGGUGUACUUUCCUUGCCGCAAACUGAAGAACUUUAGCCUUUGGGCAUUCCUUGGCCGCGAGUCUGCAUUUUAUGGCGAUAUAUAUAUAAUAUAGGUAACAUUCAUGAUUUCUUUGUUCAAUUUCGUUCAUUGUUGUGUAAGUUGAAAAGGUGAAGGUCUUGUCCUCUCAUGGAACGUCCUCCUUCAAUGUCAAUCCCGGCUUUUAAAAUUCAUGCUUAUUAAUUCAGUUAAGUGAUUGCCAGACUUUAAUCCGAAUCUUCUUGUGUAUUGAUCACUAGAAAGCAUCGUUGUUUCACAAAAAAUGAUAAAAUAUCCUUUGAGAAUAUAAAUGAAUUGAUAUGAAACGAAAAAUUUUGCAAAGGGUCUUUUAUUAUUUUGGAAAGGAAAGUAAAUGACAAGAAAUUCAAAAGUACCGGAGGCAAUCGUGGCGAGCUAUGUAAAUGCAGGGAAGGAUAAAUUGUAUGAAAGAAAAUAAAAAAAUAAAAAAACAUUGACUUUGAUUGAUUGAGGCGGUUUACAAUGAAUACACUUGUGAUAUUUAUAAUUACCUAUAGACAAUUACACGCAGCCAUUACAUAUAAUGGUUACUAAAUUUGAAUAAAUUAAUAACUUCCUAAUCCUUUGUGCAAUUACAAAAAAUUAUACUGUGAUCUCUUAUCUAUAAGAUGUUAUGAAAUAACCAUCCGGCAGUUAUGUUCUGGCUUCAAUUCAUCAUUAUUGCCUUUGAGUUCUAACACUAAGUAAAAUCUACAAUGGCUGUUGAUGAUUUCGUUAAUAGGUGAAGGUUCUCAUAGAUAACUAAUGUUUACUGUUGAUGACUAUAUCAGAGAGUUGUCGAUUAUUUUGACCAAACUGUUUAUCGACUUGGCUUGUCAUUUAUUGAUAAUAACCAAAAGUUGGUCAUUUUUUAUCGUCAAUAAAUGCCCCCUUUUAAAAGAAUUGAAUGAUUCAUUGAUCAUUCAAUUUGAGAUGUAUUAUCAUCAAAAAGAAGAAAAGGACAACCGAGUGUGUAAAUGAUACAAUAGACAGUCAUGUGAUACUCAUUACAAAAUAAGUAAGCAUUCAUUGGUUUUGCGAGUUUAUUUCAAUAGCAGUGACUUUAAGAAAAAUGAUACAGAGUGCAUGUGUAGUGCCUUAGUACGCCACUUCCUAAGGUUCAACUUAUUCUCUUUUAUAUUAUCAUAUUAUCACGCGAGCGGAAGAUAUUAGUCAUCUUAAACAUUUGUAACAUGAAUUUGUAUAAAUGAACACAUUGUUACUAACUAAAAGGAAAAGGGAAACCAUACAUCUAUUUCAUUUAAAAGUAUUUACAUAUAUCGGAUGGACGACCAUAGCUGCAAAAGAAACCUAUUCUGGGAGAAUCAAAAAGAUGCUCCACUCCCUAACCGCCACUAUAUGGACGCCCCACGGCUACCACCAUCCAUCGCCACCCAAAUUUACAGUCCAAGCCAAAAAGUUAAGACUGUGAUAAUCAAAAGUGGUUUCCUCGACAUGUUAGGUCAUCCCCUAGCUAGUACUUGUCGUCACCUCCCUCAUCACCGUUGCCAUCAACAGGUACGGGAUCGGUCCCACUAGUCGUCCAUCCACCAGCGCAAAGAUCAGUACAAAACGAUAUGAUACGAGACCCUCUAGAGAUCUUAUAUCCACCCCAUGUGUGGCGGUAUACCUCACAAACAUCACCAAAGGAAAGUCAAGAUCCGUAAACUCAAAUAAAUCGCCAGUAAAGUCUAUAGGUGUAGCGUAACGAGAGAUGGGGACGCUGGGAGUGAAGGCAUGGUUAAUGAUCUGUAAAAACAAUGGGGGUGAGUGCAUGCUCAAUAAGGGAAGUAACUAGCUUAUAAACCCAUUGAUCCAACAAACACUCAAUUCCUACGAUGCGUCUAAUAUCUAAUCAUCACGCACACUUAAUGUGUGUUUAACAAGCUUCUCGCAUCUUGCAUGCAAUUCUAUUGGUUGAAGGGGCAGCAAGCAAUGAUUAAGAUCAAGAAAAAUCAACCUUAUUUCAUGCAAAAUAGACCUACGGUGGCCGGCUAUGCAAGCGUACACAUUAAAGUUCCAAUUGUGUCCUAUUUUGUAUAUCUUAAUUACUUAUAAUAUUCACACAUGACAUAGGUUAGAUGUGGCACCCCUCGAAUGGCCCCCAAUCCGCUCGGGUCGCCACAGUUCACUUGUCUUUCUCUUGACCUGAUAAUAUAUCACUUUGAUACUAUGUAAUUAUAAUAGGUCCAUAAGUCCUUGGGGUUUAUAUCAUUUAGAUUGGUCCCUGCGCAAUUAUAAAUGUAUAGCGGAAGCGAUAUCACCUCUCCCUAUCUCAAAAGUUUUGAAAUGAUGCACACCAAUUAGACAGUCUUAUAAGAUAAAGCUGAGCACUUUUAUUUACAUAAGCUAGAUAGACAUGAUUAGUCGGUACACCAAAAUUUGCUGGGGUUUUCUAUACUCGGCUACAUGCUCAAAUGAUAACCGACCUUCCCCUGACUUUCCUCUCCAUUCAGUCCUAUACAGAAGUCUAUCAGGCAGUGCCGGCAGUCCAAAAAGUUUCAUUUGCUACCUGUCAUACACGAUCACACCUAGCCCGGUCCAUCGGCUGGUGGCGACGGCAACAUCCCUAGCAUAAUUCCAUCAUGACGAAUGUGCACCGACAGAAACUCCUGAACCACGGGGCCAUAAGGUAAACCGAUGUCAUACAUGACUAGAAUCCGUAAUCGGAUGAAAACCAAUCCUCGAAUCCCUACAUGAGUGUGCUCUGAACACAUGCACUCAAUGUUGACUGGGGCACCGUAGAAAGUACCGUGUGUGACAGGCAGUAGAGGCAUAUUUUAAUCUGAAAUGUUAGUCCUCACACGGGGUGAGUACAACCAUUCAGCAGUAAAAGAUUCAUCAAACUAUAUCAAGCAUUACCAUCAAUAUUCAGAUUCAUGCAAGGUAGACAAAAACAAGUAGUUAAAGAAUAAGCGUAUAUCAAAAUCAUGAAAUUCUUCAACGCAAUGGCAAAUGUAGUUUCAAUGGCUGACAUGUCCGGUUACACAAGUCUCGAUCAUAGGGCCAAACUGUAAUGACAUGUCCCAUUUCAUGCCAUACAACUUAGUCCUAUAACCAGACCAACACACAUAUAUUAGAAUCAUCCAUUUCAUCAUUCAAAAGGUUUCAUCCCCCAAAGGACCAAUGUUUGUGUCCCUCCGGGCAUUCACAUCCACCCUGGCAUCACGAAAGCCUUCGGCAUUCAGCCACUUAGGGCCACCGGGCAUUUGGAGCAUAUCACGCCUCUGGCCAUCUCGUACCCCACCUGGCAUCACGAGAAAAACCCUCUGAGGCUCACCAUGAGAAUGGUUACCCUGGCCCUCCGGAUUUACGUACCGACUAGCAUACAACUGGGCAUCCUGAAGCUCCUGAGGAAAGACCUCCGGCAUUCAGCCACUUAGGGCCACCGGGCAUUCACAAGGCAUCGACUCAUUCGAUUGUUUGGGCAUCCCGACUCUCCGGGCAUCGUUGACCCGAGGGUCCAACGGCAACAAUUAACAUCUUAAUUUCCAAAAACACCUUUCAAUGCAAUAACAAGAUGUCCCAAGAAUCCUUCAUCAAAUAUCAAUAUUGCAUAAUAUGCCAAUGCCAGUAUCAUCAUGUCACAUAACAAUUCAAGAUAUAUUCAUCUUUGGGACAAUUUGUGCAAAUUCGAAACAAAACAACUUAAUCAUUGAAAUGCACAGUUCUGGUAAAAAUUUUGGAAUAAUUUCCAAAUGAACUUAUAAAAUUCUGAAAUUGUGAUAUGUUAUAGAUGAGACCAAAAGGAAGAAAUUUCGUGAAGGACACUAAGUCAAAUUCUCUGUGUAUAAAAAGUAAUAGUUUGCUGUUUCCUUCAAAAUUCUGCAGUAACUUUCAGAUGCAGCACCUACAGAAGAAAAUUCAUUUCAUCAACUAAAUCUCGUCCGUUUGUAUUCUAAUUUUGAUAUGUUAUUCCUAAGGAUGUUUCCUACAACUUUAAUUAGGGGUUUGAAGUCAAAUUCUAUCUAUAAAAUUUCAGAAAAUUCACGGAAUCAUCAAAGAUCAAGCCGUUCUCUAUAAAACAGAGUACUGGUUUUCAAUAGAUUUACUCCUAUCUUCAUAUUUUCACCUUCUUAUGGCUAUAGCUAGAUGCCGAACUCCAUCUAAUGGAUGUAAUCUUUAAAUAAAAUAGUUUCUUUCCUUAUUUUCAUCUAUAAAUCAAAGUGAUACAAUUAAAAAGGACUUUCCAUCUAACUUUCUCCAAAACAGAGUUGGCACAUGCAAUUUUCUUCAUUCCUAAUUCAAUCAAGUCAUUUGUUUCUCUACCAAUCUAUCUUACAACCCUUUAUGUCUCUUCCACAGCAUCUAAGAACACUUUCAGCAAGUUCUUAUUGACAGAAAAACCUUCCACAGCUCGGUUCAAUGCAUACAUUCAUCCCUAAACUCCCUCAUCUCAACAUGUACCACAUCCUUUCCCUCGGCAACCCUUUCCUCACCUUGCUUGAUCCACACAGCCAUCUCACACCCAAUUUUCGAAACACACAAGGCCCUAAUACAACAUGUAAUGGCUGGUAGCUUUAAUCUAUUACUUGUUUAGUUCAAUCCCACACAAAACAGCAACAUCACAUUCAAUCCUUCACAUUUCAGCAUUCAAUCUUCAUCUCUAUCAUCCAAAAACUCAACAUGCAGCUUCCUAUUUUGCAUUUUCUCACAUCUACCAGCAUUUCACCAGAAAAUUGCAGCAUGCAAAGACAUAGGUUGAUGAACUUCCACUUGCCUCUAACUCUUAGCUUGCUCGGCAACCAAAAACAGAGACUUCGGACUUUGAACGUAGCUCAAUCGGCGAUGGGGAUUGGCGGCGUUGACGGCGGCAGCUCGGACAUGGCGGAAGGUGAUCCUCCUCUUCUUCCCUCGUGGCUCAUGCCCGCGCACCCGCUCUCUCGCUCGAACUCUCGGUUUCUCCUUCUCUCUCCUUAGUUCCGAAUUCCUUUGUUUUCUUUCAUUAGUUAACUAAUUAAAUCUUGCAUGCAAGUGACAAAUGACUUCAAGGAGGAGACAAGUGGCUUCAAGAAAAGAACAAGUGGAGAGGGUGGCGUGGCCUCCCCAUCCGGUUUCUCCCCCCCCCCCUUUUGGUCGACAGCCUUGUGGGCUUCUUGGGCUUGCUUGGGCCUGAAAAAUUGAGGCCAAAAUGUCCAAUUUAAAUGGCCCAUAGUAAAAUAAUAAUAAGCCCAUAAUUUUCGGCACCAUUAUAAGGCAUUUUGGUUUCCAUAGAAAUCAAUAAAUAUUCCCAAAAUCAAUUUGCUUCAUGUAUAAGGAUAUAACCGAAAUUCUUGCGUACAGUCCAACUCCUCAAAAUUUUAUUCUUAAUUUUUCAGCAGGCGUGUCCCUCAUGCGUGACCGAAUUCCAUUCCUUCGGCACAAAAAAUAAAUUGACCAAUGUCCAAAUUCCUCUCUUAUUCCAUAUAUACUUAAUUGGUAUAGUUGUGUGGUGUGGUUUAAAGAAGUAUGCACAUAAAAGGUUCGGUCCAGGAGAUAAAAUAAUGCGGCUGUUGGUGCAAUUGUCCAUAUGGCCAUUUAAAGACGAAUUUCCUUUUCUUCAAAAGUAAAAUAUCGGGUCGUCGGGAUUCUCGGAUGCCACAUUAGAGUCACCAUCCCUAAGUUUCCUUAAAUAAUUAAAAAAAAAACAUGUGAACUAAUUAAAUGCACUCGUCGAUACUAAAAUGAUCUUCCGUGGCUCACGAUAUGGCUAUGUGAAAUUUGGGACGUCACAAUAUGCAUUAUUAAUAGGCUACGAUUCAUACACCUUCUGAAUCUUGUUGUUGAAACUUUGCUCCUUGAUCAAUUCAGACGCCUUUUGAUUUGGAACCCGAUACGAGUCCAAUUGCAUGGGAAAUGGUAGCAUCUACGACAAAAUUAACGGAAUCGGAUUUCAUCACCUUGAGAAGUUUGUGAUGAUAUGGUUAUAGAUGCAAUUUAUCCUUCUCUUCUCUUCAACGAGAAACCAUCUAGACUUUGAGGUCCGACUGAGGGAUUACAGUGAUCAUCAACAUCCCCCAAUUUAGGCAGAACAAAUUCGACAGUGUCAAGGUUCGAUUUCCUGCUAUCAACAUUCAUUGGCGGAUAACCUAUCUCCGGAACACUUUUGUCAAAUAUGAGCAAGUGAAAAUUUGAGUCCUCUACGUAUUUCAAGACUAAAAAGUGGCCCUCACAAAUAGAUUAAUGCUCCACUAAUUCCUUCCAUCCCUUUGAUAACCAAACCAAAUCAUCCCAUUUUUCCAACACCACCCUCCAACUUCCACCGUUUGGAACCCUCAAAUGCAACGUUUUGGGAAGAGUCUUGCCGCACUUUCUCACAAGCCUCUUUGGAAUACCCUAAUUUCAUAACAUAUAAAGUCAUCAUAAACAGUAAACAAGCAGCGCUUGAUAUAUUUAGCAUUAACAACAAAGAAACGUCGAGUCUGUAGUAUGCUUCAACCUUCCGAGCCUUGGUAGGUCAAAAAGAAUUUUUAAGAAAAGAACUUAAAAGCCUUCCAGUUUUUUUUUUUUUUUUUUGGUCGAAAACAGCGGUAUUAUAUAUUAAUGCACAUAUGAACAAUUGCUGUACAAAGCUUCAGAAUACAAAAGAUCCAAGAGGUGAGGAGGAGGAGAGACAGCCCAAUUUGAGGGGAGCAAGGAAAGCCCAUGGGAUUUGGCAGCUCAAUCGGUAAUGAAAUUGGCAGCCCAUCGACAGUGUUGGAUCUGGAGAUGGGAAAAACGGGGUAGAUGCGCCAUACCUUCAGCAAACAAAGCUCUCUGUUGCCAAGGAAUCAAAUUAGGGUUUCUUACCGCAUCCACCAGCAUCGAGCAGUCGGAUUCCAGUAGGAUACGAUCAUGGUUCUUUCCUUUUUGCAGCAGAAACUUAAGGGUAAGCAUCAAAGCUUGUGUCUCUGUUUGUAGUGCCGAAAAUGCGGUAAUGGUGCUGGUAAAACCAUCGAGCAGGUGGCCAACAGAGUUGCGGCACACACAAGCUACUAUGCCUUUGUUGUGAGAUAUUGGGUAAGCUCAAUCUAUGUUGAUUUUAAUAACUCUAGGCUUUGGUGGACGCCACAUAUGAGCAAGAUUUGAUGAUUGCAAUCUCGGUUUCAACGACGCCCUAUUGCAGAGGCGGGUGGAUCUGUAAUUUGCAAGAGUUGAUUGUACAAUUUGUUUAGGAUUCGAUUGUUGCUGGCGAAAUACAAGGUUGUUUUUGCCUUUCUAGAUUUGCCACAUAAUAGAAGUCAUCGUCUCCAUAUCAGGUAAGGCAUUCCCGUUUUCUAGUAAUUCUGCUAAGCAUCUGUCGAUUCUUGUAACACUGUGAAGGUGGGAUGUUAAAUUGACUUGUGGAUGAGACCAUAUAGCUUGUGUCCAAGUACAUGAUAGGAAGAUGUGUUCUGUAGUUUCCGGUACCUGUUCUGUACACAGUUGGCAAAUUGGGUCUGGGAUGAUAUGUCUGUGGAAAAGGUUAUCCUUUGUAGGCAAGGCAUUUUGGCAAAGAGACCACAUGAAGAUGUGAAGCUUGGGGGGGGGGGGGGCUGCAUGGGCCAAAUUUUAUAUUCCAUAACUUUCCAGGUGUUUGGUAAGAUGAGGAAGUAGUACUAUGUAUGUCCCUGUGGGUGAGUGCUCUUAUAGAAUUAUAACCGCUCUUUACCGUAUACUUACCAUUGAGUUGCCCUUUCCAAAUAAUUUUGUCAAUAGUAUAGGGAGGCCGAAUCUGUACUGAGAGGAUUCAUUUAUAGUCCGAUUGUCGAAGUUUUGUCGAAGGAGGGAUUUAUUCCAUGCAUUUUGGUUUUGGAUUAUAAAGUCUGCCACCUACUUAGCUUUGCCUCUAGGGCCUGACCCACCGAUGAUUCCACUAGAAAGCCACUUAUCCUCUCUAAUAUUGAUCCAUUGUCCGUCGCCUACUGACCAUUGGAGAUUGUGUAAUAUAGAAUCCUGGACUAGCAAUAAACUUUGCCAUCCCCAGGGGGGUCUAAACCCUUUAUUAGCAUUCCAAAAUUCUUUAGAAUGGAAAUAUAAUCAUUUAAAGAGUCUGCUCCAUAAAGAAAGUGGUUGUUGUAUUAUACGCCAAGCUUGUUUACCCAGUAAAGCCUUGUUGAACGCAAGGAGAUCCCAAAAACCUAGUCCCCCGUGUCUUUUCUAUCCUUAAGAGUGUCCCAUUUCUUCCGGUGAAUACCAGAUUUGCUACUAUGAGGUUGCCACUAGAACUGGCAAUUUUCUGUUCGAUAGACUUGAAUAGAGACAGAGGAAUUUUGAAGAUUGACAUGGCAUAUUGCAGGAGUGCUUGGACGACUGUUUUAAUCAAAAUUUCCUUGCCGCCUUUAGAGAUUAGUUGUUCUUUCUAACCUUCCAACUUAGAGUUUACCCUUCCCAAGAUCCAUGUGAACAUCUCUCUUUUAGAUUUCCCCCAGUCUGACGGUAUACCAAGAUAUUUGUCAGUCUUGGCUAGCACAGGGACAUGUAAUUCUCUAGCUAAAUUCACUUGAAGGUUAUGAGGACAAGCUUUACUAAAAAAGAUACCAGAUCUGUUGCGGUUUACUUCUUGUCCUGUGGCUUAGCAAUAUUGGUGUAGAAUAUUGGCUAAGUUAUGGCAUUCCAGGAGUUUUCCGUCUAAGAAAAAUAUAGGGUCAUUAGCAAAAAAAAAAAAAAAAAGAGAUAGGGUAGGACACCACCUGUUUAAAGUUAUGCCUCUGAUAUUGCCCAUAUUUACAACUUGAGUAAUAAGUGUAGAGAGGACGUUUGCCACCAGGAUAAAUAGGUACGGAGAAAGAGGAUCUCAUUGUCUUAAGCCCCUAGUCGGAUAAAAGUAGGGUAGAGGUUCGCCAUUGAACUUGACACUAAGGGAAACUGUUGUUAUACACUGCAUCACCCACUGAAUCCAUUGUGCAUGAAACCUUAGCUGAGUGAGCUAGUCCUAUAGAAAAUCUCAUUCCACCCUAUCAUAGGCUUUUUGCAUGUCAUUGGAUAGCCUGAAAAUUAUUUUUCCUCUUUCGAGUCCUGAUUUGAUGGAGAACCUCAUGGACCAUGAGAACAUUAUCCUGGAUUUGACGUCCACUGACAAAAGCGCAUUGUUUCGUAGCUAUCAGUUUAGGUAACUAAGGCUUCAGUCUAUUCGCAGAAACCUUUGAGAUGAUAUUGUAUAUAAAAUUGCAAAGAUUGAUAGGUCGAUAUUGGUCUAACUGUUCUGGAUGAGGAGUUUUUGGGAUAAGAGAGAGUAAUGUCCUAUUGAAUUCUGGUCGCAUCACUCUGGAAUGGAAGAAUCUUUGACAGAAAGAAAAAUAUCUUCCUUUAAAAUAUUCCAAUGGGAUUGGUAAAACUGUCCAUUUAAGCCAUUGGGUCUCGGAGCCUUGGAUGCUCCCAUUUGAAAAGCAGCGUUUUGGACUUCCUCUAGAGUGAUCUCAUUUAUUAGAGUAGCAUUCAUCUCCUCUAUCACCAUAGAUGGGCAUUGCGCAAGAAUAGGCCUAUAUUCGCGAUAUCCCACAGAACUAUACAAAUUUUGAAAGAAGCCUAAUGUCAUGUCCUUCAAAAGAUUAGGUUCAUGUACCCAUUGAUGAUGCUCAUUUUGUAACAUGCUAAUGCUAAUGCGAUUGCGCUGCCGCUUUUGGAUAGUAGUGGCAUGGAAAAAUUUGGUGUUCUUGUCCCCCCAUCUAAACGAAUUGAGCUUUGAACGCAUUGCCCAUUAUUGUUCCUCCUGUUGCCAUAAUAGUUGUAUUUUAUCUUUUAUAUGAGUAACCACCGCUUGGUUAUAUUGACCAUUGGGUUGAUUGAUAAGGUUUUGGAGCUGCUGCUUGAAGAGAUUGAUUUGAUUAUGACCAUGAGAAAACUUGGAUCGACUUCAGCUAGUAAGGGCUUUAGAAACAUCCUUUAACUUCUGAGGUAGGUUUAUACCUCUAGCUUGGGAAGAUUGCCAUGACGCAGCAAUGAUUGUGCGACACUCUUGGUCUUGUAACCAAAAGGAUUCAAAAAUAAAGAUCUUCCUUCUUUUGCCAGGAAUUGUUGUAGUUGUUAAUAGGAUCAAGCUAUGAUCUGAACCAAGUGCAGGUAAGGCGAAAACUUCAGCUGUAGGAAAGGUAACUCUCCAAUCCAUUGUACAAAGCACCUGGUCCAACCUUUCUUUUACACAUUCAUCUCCACCCCUAUUGUUAACCCAUGUGAAAGCACAACCUUUGCUUGCCACGUCCAUCAAAGAACAAUCAUUUAACAGUUCACGAUGGUAAAAAAAAAAAAAAGAGUUCACGAAAGGUGUGCUUGCAAUGUUAGUUUGCUGGUCUUUUGCCUAUUUUCUCCCAAGAAUAAAUUAUUUCAUUGAAAUCACUAACAUACACCCAAGGUAAUAUAUUAUAAUGACUAAUUUGUCUCAAGUCAUCCCAUAACAUAUGUCUGAGUUGGUACACAGCCGGUGCAUGUAAACAAGUAAGGCACAUUAUAGUUCCGCGUUCAUUAUAUGUACAUACCAUAUCAAUAAGAGCUAAAGUCUGCCAUUCCACUGUUAAAGAGACCCCCUCAUUCCAAAACACCGCUAAGCUGCCAGCCAAGCCAAUUGGAUUUUCAAUAACACUAUUUGGGAAUCUCAACCUAUUUUGCAUCCUUUUGAGUAGCACUUCUUGGUUUCUGGUCUUCAUCAAAAAAAGAAUGUCGGGCUUUUCUUGGGUCUUGAUGGCCCUUAGUGCUUGGAUUGCCAAGGGAUUGCCCAAACCUUGACAGUUCUAACUAAUUAGCUUCAUUUGUUACUUGGUGGCUAUUUUGGGCCAACCACCAAUGCCCAACUAUUGGAUUCUAUUGCCACAAAGAUUGGGGUAUCCUGUAGUUGAGUUUCAUCGAGUCCCUCUGAUAUAUGAAUGCACACGUCAGACGUGCUAUAUUGCUUUGCUUUCUUGAUGGGUCCAGCUUUUGGGUGCAAACGAGUGUGUUUUAGUUUCUUGGAUUUUGAUGAACCUACCGCUACUUUCUUCAUUUUGGUGAUUGGUUCUGCUGCAACAGGGGCUGCAGGUGCCUGGAUGAGUGGUUGCCAUUGAAGUGGUGUUGCAACAGUAAUGAUUUGGCCCUUACCUGGGAAUUCCACAACUUCCUUUUGUUAGUUGGUGUGAGGUUGAUGGACAAGGAUCAAGUUGGUAGGCGACUGAGGGGUCUCAAGGAUAACCUCCUCUACCUCCUCCCGGGAUGGUUUGGUCUCAUAAAAGGUACGCCAAAAUGGGCUAUGUUCUUGAACCUCUGCACGUAGCCAUUGAUCGUAAUAAAGGUUGUCCUUGCCUUCCAUUUUUUCCGUAUCGAAUGGAAAGGUUUUACAGUACAUUGCAUAGUGGCCUAAAACACCACAAGAGUAGCAAUAGUGAGAUAGGCAUUCAUAGCGAAAAUCUAACCAUAAUGUCUUUCCAUCCAAUUUAAGAAGCUGGCCCGUGGUGAGUGGUUCCUAUAAAUUGAGUUCUACCCGGACUCGUCCAGCUUUUAGAGAUAAACCUUCUCUCUAUUCUACUUUAACUUCUAACACCUAACCUACACGUCGCACAGCUUUGCUUAACAUAUGUUCAGUGCACCAUUCUAAUGGGAGCUCGAAAACUUGGACCCAAAAAGCACAGGUGGUAAAGUCGUAGCAAUGCAGAGGAGUGUUAGGAGUCCAGGGCUAUAAAUGACUAAGUGGUUGGAGAAUAGCCAAGGUCCAUUAUUCAAAAUCCUAUGUUUUUCCCCUUCUGAUUUGAACUUAACAAUGAGAGGACUAGUAUGAGUACCUAGAGGGGGGUGAAUAGGUACAAAAACAGAUUUUGUAAAAUAUAAGGUAAAACUUUUACUUUUAACCUGAGUUUGGUUGACAAUAGAUUUUGUAGAGAAAAUCAGGCUAUAGCAAUUAAAUUGAGUUAUUAACAAAGUAAAGGAGUUCAGGGAAGAGAAUAAGAAUACAAGAUUUAUAGUGGUUAGGCUUAAUCCAAGCCUAUGUCUACUCUCCCGCACUGAUAGCCCAUUGGCUGGAUUUCACUAUGAAUCAAAAGAGUCAUUACAGUAUCACGUCCUUAAUUCCACAGUGUAGAGGCUUUGCUACACUUCCUCAAGGUCUCUCAAGUAUCAAAAUUCUCUUUUGAGUACAAAUGUACGCUUAACAAUUAAAUUAGUAAAGAACAAGGAACUUCAGACUUUGGAAUUUUUCUAUCUCGCACACACUUGAAUAACUAGAGCAUCUUCCUUAAAUACUCAUCCAUGCCUUCAUAACCGUUGGCACCUUCUAAAGGAGUUCUUCCAAUCUACCCGUUGGACAGAAUUAAUUAGGGAGAUCUCGAGUUAGUUAAGAAAUGUGAGGAUAGCCCACCAAUCCUGCUCGCCCAUACAAUCAGGAUCUAGGUUUCCAUAAGUAGAACCUUCCAAGUUUACUUCAUCAAACAAUGGAUUUGAAUUACUUGAUUUAUUUGCAAUAUGAAUAAUAGAUCUUUUAGAUGCUAUCUCCAGCCGUGAGACAAUGUUCAACCAAACGAAUCAAAUCCUUAAAGAUAAACUUGCAACUGAAUAAGAUUUCUUCGUCGGUCUAGAAACUAUUAAUAAGGGCAGACUUUAAAUCUUGAGUCUAGCGGACUUCAGACUUUGGUAAAGGGAAAUGUUUUGUCAACUUCAAAACAGAUAAGGAAGUUUUCUCCAACAAUCUCCCCUUUUUUUUAUGGUGACAAAACUUUCUUGCAGAUUUGGACACUUUGACCUGCAAAAUAGCACUUAAGCAUACCAAGAUUUCUUACAGAUGUAAAUUAGAGAUUAAGAUAGAAAUAGUAGCAAUUCUGCAACCAUAGAAAACAUGUUAGUACAGUAAACACAACUAUUUUAAUGUAAUCAAUAAUAGCUUAAGUUGCAAGCAUCAACAAUCCAAGCCAGUCUAAAAACCACACCAAACAAAGAAGUUCAAAAGUUCAACACAGAAAAUCAAAAAGAUAGAGUUAAUCAAAUCUGCCAUAAAACCUCUCCCCCCUUUUGUCAGCAGCAAAAAGUGGAGAAAUGACCAAAGAGAUGGAGUUAAAAUCAAGGUUGUUUGGGCAGGCGAACAAGUGUGAAUUCUCCCAUAGAAUGCACUGUCUUCUUAAGCCUGUCAAAACUCUGCUUCAGCAACGGAAUAUCCUCACCCUGCAAAGAUUGAACUUGAAGCUUCAAGGUGUUCAACUGUUCUUGCAAUGAUACUGAAGUGGCCUUGAAUGCAUUCUUGAGAUCCUGUAUCUCAAAUCCCAUGGCAUAUUGCUGCUUUCUGACGUCCAAAAGAACUUCUAGCAAUCUUGAAAAGUCUAUCGUCUGAACAGAUGUAUCACUAAAACCAGCUAUGUCAAGGAUGGGGAUUUUGAGAAUCGAAGGAUUCUCAGUAGAAUGUUCAUCAUGACUGUCUUCUGGAUGGUGCGAGGCAUACAUAUCUUCAGGGUUUGCUGCAAAUCGACUCAUAUCACUAGCAAGCAAAGAUGAAGAAAUACAUUUUGGAUCAACAGCUCUCCCUGUUUUAAUGCCCUCAGGUGGAGUAGGUGAAGUUUCCUUAUCUGCAGAUGCACUAGAUAAUGAGAUAGCCAAGGUUGGCUUGAAAGAAUCCUCAUGACCCUAAUCUUGGUCUUCUUCUUCUUCCUCUUCCUCUUCCGCUUCUCUUCUUCCUUCCUCUGUCCUCCUUUGUUCUUCUGCCUUUUCUGUGGCUUCUCUCUCUCUUUCCUCUUCUCCUAGCUCUUCUCUUGUCUCACGAAAGCUUACAUAACUCUUUAAGUUUCUCAAAGUUGCUAUGGUUAGUUCAUCAUCAUCUUCUUCAUCUUGCAGGAUGAGACUUCUUUUCUUCUUCACAGGAGCAAUCAUGGGCUCCUUCCAUUUUCUCUUCGCAGCAGCAGAGUCUUGUUUUGCUUUUGUGGGAGACUUUUCCUUCACAUGCUCCAACACUUUGUUCAAUUCUUUCAAUCUCAUCUUUGUCACCAUUUUGAACCUAAUCACCAUAGGAGAAAUGGUUGACAAGUAUAGUGGUGCAAGGAUGUGAAUUUUGAAGUGUCGAAAGAGUCUCGAAAUAAAAGAAGAAUAAGGGAGUUGCCCUUUAUCUUUUUCCACAGUGCGGUACAUUUGAAACAGAAUGGUGUGAGGCAAGGAGAAUUUAUAUCUAGAGUUGAUAGCACACAUCAACUUAGCUUCCGAUCGAGACACAUUUGUUGUGGAUGUUGAUUUAGGACGAAUGCAGUUUAUCAUAAUCUUAUGCCGCAAUAUGUUGGAGGCACUCAUCCUCGAGUAAGAGAUUUUGCUAUCAACAUCCUUGUCUCUCACCAAAGAAAGAAUAGCAUGAGCAAUAUACACAUUAAUUGGUUGGAAACUUGAUCUUUCCACCCCAAUAAUGUUGGCCAGUGUGUUUGUAUCCACUAAAAACUCUCUGUCCUUCACAGUGAAAACAAAGCUGUUUGCAUUCAAGAAAGAUAGGUUCAAAUAAAAGUACGAAGUGAGUUCUGGAAAAGCAGCAGUGGAUUCAGAACAAAAUCGUUCUAGUUGUAGUAAAGCAAACUUCUCACGGAGAUUGACCUUUAUUGAAUCAAGAAAGUCAAAAUAAAUAGUUUUAGGGUUCAUAACCCCUCUCUUUAGAAGUUUCAAAUAAACCUUCUUGUGCCUCUUCGAUCUAAACAUAUUUGAGCCAUCAGUAACAUUUGCAGCCACACCAGAUCUAGGCCGAAAAUGAGCAAACAUCCGUUCAUCGUCUUCCUGAAGUUGAUUUGUAGAGCCAUAGAAUAGAUCACUUGGUAUGUUCUCAAACGUUCUGUCAGGCGUUCAUUUCUCUACAACUCCCAAUCUUUCCAAAUCUCUCAAAAACAUAGUUUCAUUCUUGAAUCCUCUAUCUUUUAAGAAUUCAUUGAUUAAGGACAUCGGUGUACCUCCUCUCUUUAGAUUAGAGUAAAGUUUAUAAGCUACCUUUGGAGUCAGAGUUCUUACGAGUUCAGCAUCUUCUAUGACUUCUUCUUCAUGUUGAGUCGGUGGAGAGGAUUGACGCAGUUGAGAAGGUUGUUGCUGACUUGAAUGAAGUGGGGGUGAAGAAUCUUCCUCCUCAGUUAAGUCAAAAUGGGUAGGAUCCUCAGGCAUAGAUCGUGGUCCCCUACUUGCAAUCCUUCAAGAUCUUCUCGAAGACAUUGUCACUUCGAGAGAGGAAUUCACCACUUGCUCGAAAAAGGAGAUAACUUUUUGACAGAUCGAGGGUGAAAGCGAGAGCAAAUAGGAAUUUUGUUUUCUAGGGUUUCAGUGUAAAAACGAAGAAGACAAGUCUUGGAAUUAUAUAAGGCAAGUGAAAUGAGGUAAAUGAAACGUCGUAAAAAGGAAAAUAAAAAAAAAAUACAUUUUUGAAAAUAACUGUCUUUUCAAAAUUGAUAACUGCCUUUUUGAAAGAGUAAAUUUUUUUUGGAAAGAUGACUUCAAUCAAUUAAUGAUAAAUAACCAGCCGUACCUUUCCAAAUUUAAAGUUUAGAAAUAACUUACGAUUAUUAUUCUUGGCUUUCUGAGUCUGAACACAUUCGGACUUUACAUUUUGAGUCUUGUGCACAUCCAUACUUUACUGGGUAAGAGAAAUAAUGUUCUGGUGCGAAUAGACUCAAAUAGACUUUUCUCCAGUGGCUUUGUAAAUAUAUUCGCUAGUUGAUUCUUCGAGUCAAUAAAUUGGAUCUUAACUUAUCCAUUUUGAACAUGGUCUCUAAUAAAAUGAUGUCGAAUCUCUAUAUGCUUUGCUCUUGAGUGAAGAAUUGGAUUCCUGGUGAGAUUAAUUGCGCUAGUGUUAUGACAUCUGAUCUCUGUGCACGAAUCUUUGAUUCUAAAGUCUCUUAGUUGUUGUUUAAUCCACAAGAUUUGAGAGCAGCAACUUCCAAGAGCCACAUAUUCUGCUUCUGUUGUUGAAAGCACUACUAUACUCUGCUUCCUUGAAAACCAUGAUACUGUCCUGUUACCAAGCAAUUGACAGGUACCGGAAGUGUUUUUUCUUUCAACUCGGCAACCUGCUAGAUCUGCGUCUGAAUAUCCAAUGAGAGUAAAGUCUCCCUCUUUGGAUAUCAUAGACCCAUCUUCGAGGUUAUUGCAACAUAUUUGAUGAUAUGUUUAGCAGCACUUAGAUGAAACUCUUUUGGAUCUAAUUGAAAUCUGGCACACAUGCAAACACUAAACAAAAUAUCAAGUUUAGAGGCGGUGAGAUAAAGAAGUAACAAAUACUAAGAAGUAACAAAUACUACUCCUGUAAAGUUUCUGGUCACCUUUCUUUCCUCCUUCAUCUUUUUCCAGCUUCGAAGAACUAGACAUUGGUAUUUCAAUCUUUUUGCAAUUGUCUAAACCAAAUUGUCUAACAAGUUCUUUUGCAUAUUUUUCUUGGUGAAUAAAGGUCCAUUCCUUCAAUUGCUUUACUUGUAAUCCAAGAAAGAAGGAUAAUUCACCCAUCAUGCUCAUCUCGAAUUCUUCUUGCAUAGACUUAAAGAAAUUCUUGCAUAAAUUUUCGUUAAAUGAUCCAAAUAUUAUAUCAUCAAUAUAAAUUUGAACAAGUAAAAUUUUUUUACCUUCCCUUUUAAUAAAUAGAGUAGUGUCUACUUUACCUUUGACAAAACCACUUUGAAUAAACAAUUUACUUAACCUGUCGUACUAAGCUCGAGGUGCUUGCUUUAAACCAUAUAGUGCAUUUUUCAGUCUGAAUACAAAGUUUGGUUUCCUUGGGUCUUCAAAACCGAAAGGUUGUUCCACAUAGACUUCCUCUUGAAUAAAUCCAUUCAUGAAUGUACUUUUGAUGUCCAUUCGGAAUAACCUGAAAUUCUUAUAACAAGCAAAAGCAAGUAAUAAUCUAAUUGCUUCUAACCUUGCUACUGGUGCGUAAGUCUUAUCAUAGUUUAUCCCUUCUUCUUGCGUAUAUCCUUUAGCCACAAGUCUUGCCUUGUUCCUUAUAACUUUUCAUUUUUCAUCCAUCUUGUUUUUGAAAACCCAUUUAGCUCCAAUAACAUAUUUGCCUUUUGGUUUAGGAGUCAGUUCCCAAACAUUGUUAACAUUGAACUGCUGAGUUCUUCUUGCAUAACUUCAAUCCAACUUUCAUCAGUUAAAGCUUUUUCUAUGCUUUUGGGUUCUAUUUCAGAAAUAAGAGCCACAAUGCUAGACUCUCCAUGCCUUUUGGAUCUUGUACGAAUUCUUUCAUCAAUGUUACCAAUGAUGAGUUCUUUGGGAUGACUGGACUUGUGCUUCUAGUUGUUGGUUGGUUUGACAGAUUGCUGAACUUAUUCUUCAGUUGAUUCUUCAAUAUUUGUUCGAUGUUGAUCUUUUGAAGUCUGAGCUGCUUUUGGGGAAGUAGACUUUGUAGAGUCUGGAGCAGGUUCAGAUUCUUCAGGUUGAUUUUGAAUCGAUUGAUUUUGUAUAGUCUUGAAAUUUGGCAUUCAUUGACUCUUCCACAGACUAAGUCUUCUUGUUGUAUACUCUGUAAGCUUUGCUGGAUGUUGAGUAUCCAAGGAAGAUUCAUUCAUCUGAUUUUUCUUCAAACUUACCAAUUUGAUCAUUUGCAUUUUUCAAGAUAAAACAUUUACAGCCAAAUACAUGAAUGUAAGAAACAAUUGGCUUCUUUUCUUUGAACAACUCAUAAGGAGUUUUCUCCAGAAUAGGCCUUAAGAAUACUUUGUUAAUAAUAUAACAUGAUGUAGAAACUGAUUCAGCCCAAAAAUGAGAAGAAAUGUUGCUUUCAAUUAAAAGAGUUCUAACCAUUUCUUGCAACGAUCUAUUCUUUCUUUUCACAACUCCAUUCUGUUCAGGAGUGUAUAGUGAGGAGAACAAAUGCUGAAAACCAGAUUCAUCACAAAAUUGAGCAAAAUCUUGAUUUUCCAACUCACAUCCAUGGUCUGUCCGUAUAGUUGAAAUAACAUAUCCUUUCUCAUUCUGUACUUUCUUAGCAAAUUUUGAAAAGUAAGAAAAAGUUUUAGACUUAUUUACCAGAAAAUAUACCUAAGUAAAUCGUGAAUAAUCAUCAACUAUUACUAGGCAAUACAUCUUUUCACCAAUGCUCUGAGUCCUAGUUGGUCCAAAGAGAUCCAUGUGUAGGAGCUGCAUCACACGAUUAGUGGAAACUUGAUUUAUUGGUUUGAAAGAAUUUCUAACUUGUUUUCCCAACACACAUGGUGUGCAUAAUUCAAAUUUUAGUACUUCAGGUUGAGUAGUCCACGAACAAGUUUCUUUGAAGAGAUCUUGGCAAUUUGCUUCAUGUUGAUAUGGCCAAACUUUCGAUGCUAGAGAUUUUCUUCAUCUUGAAUUGAAAUUAGACAUUGAGAUCUUUCUAGAUUGAUGUCUAAAAGAUAGAUAUUUCCAUGUCUUCGCCUAGUAAAAGAUUGUGAAAGAUCUUUACUAGUCCCUGAAUAUAUUCAUUCUUGAAAAUUGAUGUUGAAUCCAGUGUCGCACAAUUGGUUGAUGCUGAGCAAGUUGUAAUUAAGUCCUUCCACUAAGGAGACGUUGUUGAUUGUAAGACUUCCUAUCUUUACAGUUCCACAACCGACAAUUCUUCAUUUGCUAUUUCCACCAAAAGAACUCUUCCACCGUUAAUGUGCAUAAGCUUUAUGAAACAACUUGAGUCCCUUAUCAUAUGUCUUGAGCAUCCACUAUCCAAGUAUCAUUUGACUCUUCUCUUGAUAGUGACCUGCAGUUGAAAAAGAAACUCAAGCUUUCUUUGGUACCCACACUUUCUUGGGUCAAAUGGAGUUAGUGCAAUAUACGGUCUUUGCCCAAAUUUUCUUAACAGGUUUCCAAACCAUGGGACAUUCUUUCUCAAAGUGAUCUAAGCUAUUGCACUUAGAAUAUUUAAUGACACUACGACCAACGGGUUUUACAAACACUUUUUGAAAAUGAUUUCUAUAAAAGUCUUUUGUAGGUCUUUGUUUGAUCUUUUCUUUUACUUUUGGAAAAUCAAUUAGAGGAAUGGUUUCAGAAGUCAUUCCUAAGCCUGAUUUGAUAAAGUAAGGUCUUUGUGCUGAAAGAAUCUUUUCCAAUUUCUCAGAUCCUAUAGAAAACCUUUUUGAAAUACUUGAAAUAUCAUUUUUCAAAAGUGUAUUUUCUUUUGAAAGAGAGUCUGCAUUUUCUUUCAAAGUAAUAAGACUUUUAUCUAAAUUUUCGACCUUUUCUUUCCAAACAAUCUCCUGUUGCUUUAGUGCAGAAUUUUUCCUUUUUAGCUCGAAAAUCCUCUUGAGAGAGGUUUUGAGACUAAGACACAAUUCAUCAGCAUAUUUAAAGACUUUAGUAGGAAUUUUUAAAUUACUUACCUCGAUUUCACUGUCUAAGUCUGAAUUUGUGUCCGUCUCAGAAUCUGAAUCUGAUUCUGAUUGCGCAAUUAGACAAAUAUUAGCAUAAUCAUCAUCACUCUCUUCGCAUUCGGUAUCACUCCAAGUUUCUGUUUUGAGUGCCUUUAUGUAUUUAUUAGUUUUUCCUUUCUUUUUCUUCAGCAAGGGACAGUUGAGUCUAAUGUGUCCAUUUUUCUUGCAUUCAAAACAAAUGACAUCUCUAUUGGAUUCAUCGUCCUAAGCUGAUUUAUUUUGAAACUUUUGAGAGCUUUGUUUUUUCCAAUUGAAUCUUCUUCCCUUCUUGUUCAACUUUCUAAACUUUCUUAUUAUGAGAGCAAGCUCUUCAUUAUCCAUAUCGUCUUUAGAAUCUAUAACAUCGGAAUCAUCAUCAGAUUUUAAAGCAAUAGAUUUUUUUACCUUUGGGAUCUUCCUCUUCAUUGAUUUGCUCCACUUCAUAAAAUUGAAGAGUGCCAACCAAUUCAUCAACGGAGAGUGGCAUGAUCCUUUGUGUUUCUUUUAUUGAGGUCUUUACGUGAUUCCAAUAUUUGGAAAGUCCACACAACAGUUUGUUAACCUUCAAUUGUCUUGAAAUUGGUUGAUUUUAAUACUCAACACCAUUUACGAUUUCUGUAAAACGACUAAGCAUGUCAAUGAUAUAUUCUCCUAGCUUCUUCUUAAAGGCUUCAUAUUGACCGAGCAGAAUAUUGAUUCUGGUUUCUUUCACUCGAUCAGUUCUUUCAUAUGUGAUGUGCAGCUUAUCCCAGACUUCUUUAGCUGUUUCACAAGAAGAUAUUCUAUUAUAUUCAGUAGGAAAUAAUGCACAAUAUAAGAAAUAAAUUGCUUUUACAUCAAGAGAUUGUCUCUUGGUUAUCUCUUCUUUAGUCAUCUCGGUAGGCUCAACAGCUUUUUCCCCCUUUUUGAGACUAUUGUAGCUUUAGGAAUGAUUCCUUUGUCUAUCACAUCCCAUUCCAUAGGAUCUUUUGAUCUUAGGAAUGCCUUCAUCUUGUUUUUCCAUAUAUUGUAUUCCUUUCCAUCAAAAUAAGGCGGUAUGAUAUUGCUUUGCCCUUCAACCAAACCUGGAGCCAACAUACUAACCAUGGAUCUUUAACUCUGAAAUAGAAACACUUCAAUUUAAAUGAGUACACAGAACCAAACCUGGAGCCAACAUACUAGCCAUGGAUCUUUAACUCUGAAAUAGAAACACUUCAAUUUAAAUGAGUACACAGGCUUUGAUACCAAUUGAGAUGGCUAGUAUGAGUACCUAGAGUGAAUAGGUACAAAAACAUAUUUUGCAAAAUAUAAGGUAAAACUUUUACUUUUAACCCGAGUCUGGUUGACAAUAGACUUUGCAAAGAAAAUCAGACUACAUCAAUUAAAUAAAGUUACAAACAAAGUAAAUGAGUUCAGGGAAAAGAAUAAGAACACAAGAUUUAUAGUGGUUUGGCUUAAUCCAAGCCUACGUCCACUCUCCCGCACCGACAGCCCACUGGCUAGAUUUCACUAUGAAUCAAAAGAGUCGUUACAGUAUCACGUCCUUGAUUCCACAGUGUAGAGGCUUUGCUACACUUCCUUAAGGUCUCUCAAGUAUCAAAAUUCUCUUUUGAGUACAAAUGUACGCUCAACAAUUGAAUUAGUAAAGAACAAGGAACUUUAAACUUUGGAAUUUUUCUAUCUCACACACACUUGAAUAACUAAAGCGUUUUCCUUAAAUACUUCUCAAUGCCUUCAUAACUGUUGGUACCUUCCAAAGGAGUUCUUCUAAUCUACCCGUUGGACAAAACUAAUUAGGGAAAUCUUGAGUUACUUAAGGAAUGUGAGGAUAGCCCACCAAUCCUGCUCGCCCUAAUAAACAAGAUCUAGGUUUCCAUAAGUAUAACCUUCCAAGUUUACUUCGUCAAACAACAGAUCUGAAUUACUCGAAUUAUUUGCAAUAUGAAUAAUAGAUCUUUUAGAUGCUAUCUCCAUCUGUGAGACAAUCUUCAACCAAACGAAUCAAAUCCUUAAAGAUAAACUUGCAACUGAAUAAGAUUUCUUCGUCGGUCUAGAAACUGUCAAUGAGGGUAGACUUUAAAUCUUGAGUCUGGUGGACUUCAAACUUUGGUAAAGAGAAACGUUUUGUCAACUUCAAAAUAGAUAAGGAAGUUUUCUCCAACAAACAACAUACAAGCAAGCUUCACUUUGAGAUAUAUCUACUUGAUCAGCACGCCAUGCUCUUUUCAUAGUAUUCUGAAAGGCUGGAAAAUUAAUAGACAAGUUAGAGAGAAUCUUACCUAGCAAGAUCAACUUACAUUCCUCUAAUUUUUCCAUUGGGGCAGCAUCCUCCCAGAUUUCAAUUAUUUGUGCUGACCAUAGAUGUCCCAUUUUGUUACACAGGGCAGCGAGGCGAGCGUCGUCGCCAUGGUCAGUGUGAUCUAUCCUGAAAGAAGCCACAGUGGAAUGAUGGGUGUGCCCUUCAUGGGCAGAAGAAUCCAUCGACUAGCUGGCGCAAGGGGAAUUUGCUAAUGAGUAAGUGAUUCGAGACUGUCCACAAACAUCGCAACUUAAAGCAAGCUUGAAAUUAAGCCGCGAGAACCAGGGAUAACUAUAAAACAGGGGAAAUGGACAUGCAAAGAGAGAGAUGAACAUAAAUGAAAACUAGGGGCGAGUUCCAUUGUGAAACAAGAGGAGAAUUGAUGGGCAUAAAUGGGUCUGUGGACAAUUGAACUGUUCCAAAUGAGAAAUGGAGAUGAAACAUGAUGGGAAAUGCAUAAUCGAACAGCGAAAUGGAAGCAUGAAGGUGAGCAGAAGUGAAAUUGGGGUUCUGGUGAGAAAACAACUACCAUGGAGGUAGAGAGAGCUCUCCUUCCAGUUUGAAGUGUUUGAGAGAGUAUGAUCUUUGAAGAAAUGAGGUUUCUCUAGUGCAAAACUUCGCCAGUUCUCUUCAGGUGCGUUUGGGAAGACUUUUGGGGAAAGUUUUUAGGAAAAUGCAAAGGCCUUUGAGUUAAAGAUGUUUUCUAAAAUGCAAAUUGUGUUUGGUAAAUUUUAUUGUAAAAGUCGUUUUCCAAAAUGGGCGAAGGUCAUGUGCCUAGGUCGCGGAGGUGGCGGAGGUCGCUUGGAUCGCGACACGCGACCUCCGCCACCUUGCCAUGACCUCCGGCGACCCAAGACCUCGACACAACCCAGAUCUAGUUUGCAGAGGUCGCCUGGGUCACGGUACACGACCUCCUCCACCUCGUCGUGACCGCUUGGGUUGUGGCAGUCAUAGAGGUUGCUUGGGUUGCGGCGAGUGUCGCCACGACCUCCGGUGACUCACGACCUUGUCAUGGAGGUGGUUGGAGGUCAUUUGCAACCAUAUGGGUCACGACCUCAAAUUCGGUCGCCGCGACCCUUGUUGGAGGAUCGCUUGACGCACCGCGACCUUCGCCGAGGCCAUGUGAUUUGGGUCCUGCUGAUCGCCGCGCCGCACGUCGGAGGGUUACACAACCCUCGCCGAACCACCUACCUUUGCUGAACGGCCUGCGUCAGACUGCCCACCCUUCGCUGGACCACUUGCUCCUCGCCGGCGACUACUUGUUCUAGCCGGCCAAUUCUUUUUAUUAUUAUUUAUGAAUAACAAAAGGCUUUGCAAAUAUAAUUUUCCCAAAACACCAUUUUACUCAAAGAUACUUGAGAAUGGACUUUUACAAUAAAAUUUACCAAACACAAUUUGAAGGGUGCAUUUGGGAACCCCUUUGUAAAGCUCUUUGGGGGUCCAAAGCCCAUUUACCAAAAUAUUUGGUGUUUGGGAACACCCAAUAAAACUCACCUCAAAAGAAAUGCUGGCAUUCUAAAGGUUGAAAGCCCAAGGAAGCCUAGGGGGCUGCCUUGGGCUUUCAACAUUUUGAGAAUGGCCCAAACAUUGUUCAUCUUCUUCGUCAGAGAGGCCGGUGAGGUGUUGUGAUGGGUCGGCUACGGGCAAGAGAGGCCAGCAUGGUUGCGGCACCUCAGCGACUGUCGCCAACUAGUUGUGCGACCCAGAUCUGGGUCACGGCGAGUUCAUCUUCUCUCCGGCGACAAGAAGUCAUCCCUUGAGCACAAGUUAACUAAUAGGUUGUAACAUCUGAAUCUGACCUAGUUUUGUGGGAACCAACUUUAUUAAAUGAAGCAUUUAAUUGGAGAAGACAUUUGUUUCAGGGAUAACAACUAGCUUUGGGAAGCUAUUAAUCUUCUCUAUAGAUGUUAACGGGUGACAAUUGCUAGCUUAGCUUACAUUACAAGGAAGAAAGGUUGAUGAACAAGUGAAUGCUCUAGGAAGCUCAUUAAGAAGAAAACCUUUGGAAUCGAACACAUUAAAAGCAGGGCAAUAUGUUAGUUGAUCGAAAGUACAUCAAGAAUAAUGCCCAAGAUGCUAAGACUUGCAUGUCGCUUUAAAUAUACAAAGACCAAAACCAAUAGAGCUAAUUUACAAAGUGGCAUGUAAGAUUUUUAUUGAAUGUUUGAGUAUGACAUGCUUAUUUAUGUAUCGAGUUUUUGUGGUAUCUCUAAUAUAUUAUGCUUGCAUUAAUAAAUAAUCAAUAUGACCUUUGCCACUUGAUAUUCAGACCAAAGACUUGACCAACAAUUGGGUCGAUUUAGGUAUUAGGCAUAAAAAUUCUUUCAGGGAUUGGCCAAUGAUCAAAUAAUUAAUUAACUUUGAUGGGGUUUAAGUGGGUCUAACUUUACAUGCCAAGCUAAAGAAAGGAAUUGCUCAUUUGCAACAUAGUUGCCCAUAAAUAGUAUUGAACUCGUUUAAGUGUGCAUAAAAAGAAUUGAUUUCACUCAUCCGAGGGUUGUACAAUCACCUUUGUAAAAACAACCUAUUCACCUAGGUAGCACCGACACGUUGCUGGAGCUUCUGAGUUGUGUCGACAUGUUUCGACGUGUCCGACACGCUCAGACACGUUCGGAUACGCGUUGAUCGCGUGUCGACAAAUCUGACACGUGGUCAACGCUUGUCGACACGCUUCGACAUGCGUGUCCGAAAGGGUGGAGGCCGCGAGUGAAGGCGAGCCCGCGAUGGCGAGAGACGGCCAGAGAAAGAGAAAAGAGUGAGGUGAGGGCUGUGAGGAGGAACUUCACGAGGGAGGCACUUGUGGUGGAGGGCGGCGUCGUCGAGUGGGGCGGCAGCGGCUGCAAGGGGGAGGAGGAGGAGUUCGCGGCGGUGUGUAGCCUCUCCACGCACAGGGACCGCGCGUUCCGCCUUCUUUUCCGAUCCCUUCCACUGAAAUUUUUUCUGGGUUACUCCCUUUUCCGCUCCUUCGGCGAAUGCUGGUGCUUUUCUUGCGAGUCUUCGAUGCUUUUGGAGAUAGGCGUCGUGCGGCGAGGAUUGAGGAGGAGGAGAAGAAGGUGCCGUGCUGCUAGGUUUUGAGAACUGAGAAGGAAAAUAAAAGAUUAAAAAAGGGGCUUGCGUGUUGAAGGGAGGAGGAAAUGACAGGAGGGAGGGGAAGGGAUGACUGUCAGGUGGAGGGGAGGGAAAAAAGUGAAAAAAUUUGGGGGUGGGGUCUGUCGAGGGAAAAUGAAAUAAAAGUAAAUUUGGGAUAAUGAAAUAAAAAAAAAAACUUAGAAUCUUACCGAAAAUGUUGAAUGAUUAGUGUAAAUUUAUAAUAAGUUCUUUUUAAAUUAAUUAAUUAUUUAUAAAUUUGAAAAAUACAAAUAUUUAUUUAAUAUAUAACGUGUCCCAGUGUGUCGGAAUUUUCUAUUUUUGAGAAAUGACGUGUCGACGUGUCGUGUCGUAUCGUGUCGUGUCGUGUCGGUGCAACCUAGCUAUUCACUAGCAACUUACUCUAAUAAAGAUUUUCCAACUUCAUCCAAAGAUUCUUCACUAUCCUCUAAGAGGUCAUGUUCACUAGGAUGUUAUCAGCAAGGCAUAUCCAGAUUAGGCCUUAUGCCCUCCAAUUACUAAAUGUUCCACUCCUUCAAUUCAGUGGACAUGGAUUCCUUCAACUCAUCCUCCUUCAGCUUCUCCUUGGUAUUCUCCUCAAGUGUUAUCACCUUCAAUCAUGUGCCACAUGUCUUUAUCCACAAGCAGAGCCUUCAUCUUCAAUUUCCAUAACUCAAAACCCUUUUUUUUCUGAAUUUCUCCACUACAAUCCAUUAUCGAUCUAACGAUGAUAUCUUCCCAAGAUUCAAUUUUUUUUUUUUUUGGAUCUCUCUUUACCGAGAAAAUUUUAAUAUCAAACCAAGCUCUGACACCAGAUGUUAGGAUUCACUACACAAUCACAAAGAAAAAAAAGACUAAAAGCGAGAAAAAAUUUGAGAUGCAAGGAUUUAUCUUAGUUUAUCCUUAAACUAGAGCUACAUUUAGCUGAGAAUUCUACAAUAAUUAGCACCUUGCACUUCUCUAUUGCAUCCUUGAAUUAUAAAAAGAAAGAAUAUAUAUAUAGCUAUAAAUGAGCCCAAACUUAACUUACUAAUGAAAUAAGAAAAAGAAGAUAUAUAUCCAAGUAGGAACUAUACACACGCAGAUACAUAUGCAAUAACUAUUCAUGAGUUCAAACUCAGAUUACCAAGAAAAUAUGAACUUAAACUAUAAAACUCUCUAAUGUCGCAGGGCACUGCCCCACAUUUUUUGUACACUUUAUAAGCCUCAUGAACCAACCACAAGCUUGAUACUUGUGUAGGUGGUCCUAAUUUAAAGUAGUUGCAUGUAAUUUGCAUGUAAGUGUCACGAGCUAAUCGCAAACUUUAGGCUUGUGUGGUAGUACUAACUCGAAGUAGUUGCACGUAAUCCGUAAGAUUCAAGUGCGUGAUUUAUAUAUAUAUAUUCUCUUAUUUGAUAACUUUACCUAGUAAUUGAGUCUACUAAAUUUGGAAAAAGAGAAUUAAAAAAAAAAAUCCCUUUUAAAGUAAUCUCAAAAGAAGAAUAAAAUGAUAGAGUUUGCCAAGUGCAAGAUAAUUUUUUCUUACAGUAGAAUCGCCUUUCUCGUGUAACCUAGAUCUACCAUAGUUAACUACAGUAAGUGAUUAAUUAGCACUCUAGAUAUUGUUGGCCCAUAUACGUUAAUUGCCUUAUAUGUGACCAAAAGCUUAUCCUUCCCCCUUUCAAUAUAUAUAGAAGGCUAUUGACUCCAAAUUUCCAAAUGCAAAAUGGCAAUAUCAAUUUCUAUUGAAUUUAUUGCCGUUUCUAUGUAUUCUUAUCACGUAAAUGGCAAUGUUGAAAAGGGAAAGCAUAUCGAAAGAGAUUUCCCCUUCAACAAUAUUUGCAGGAUGCCCUUAAAAUCAUCUCAUUGCCAAAACAAGGCCUUUAUUUUCUUGUAUUUAAGGCCUAUUGGAAGGACCUUUUGUCUCACCAAACCCCCAAAACUUCCUUUUGCAAUUAAAGAGUCUAACUCUAGAGCAGAUCAAGUCAAUUUUGCUCGCUGCAUUUGCUGAUAUGGACUCCCACCUCUCCCUUUUUGGGGGAGACCCAUCACUUUUCUGUACCGCACCCCAGCAGCUUGGGGGAAGGCAUCGCGGGAAUCAGGGCUGCCCUCCCAUUCCUCGUAAAGGGGGUUAUGGCCGGGUAGGGCAAUGGGGCCGGAAUCUUUAUCGAGGCCCGGAUCCCGGCCUCUAUCCAAUCUUUCCUGGAUGUCAUAAUCUUUUAAGGUGUUGCUAAGAACCCGAGUAAACACUCUCAUGCUUCACACUUAAAAUUUACAUAUGUGGUUGCAUAGUCUUUAUGUCCCUCAUUUCGAGAUGUUAAGCGAAGUUGUUCUAGUGUUUUUCAGGUCUUCAUUUUUCUCUCCACUUUUUUGUUAUCGGUAGCUCCCAUUUCAUGAGGAAAGAAACUUAAAAUAUUGGGAAACCCGAGUUUUCCCCUUCUUUCUAAUUGACUUGGGGCAGUCUCUUGGAUCUAUAGUUUUCAAGAAUUUAUGGACUAACCGGUUUCGUCCUGAUACAAAUUCGCCCCGAUCGCUUCACCGCAUACCUAGUGGUUGACAAAGGGGUGCCACCUUAUCUAUGAUGCUAUUAAACAUUUGACAUGGCAUAGCAUGGCAAAAUCAUUGAAAUUCACCGUAGGACACGACCGUUGUGACUGAUUUUGCUUCUGAGUAGAUGAAAAACGUUUUUGAAGGAAAGGAAAGAAAAAGGUACAAAGUCUGCGAAAGGGUGCUCCGAGGACAGACUUGGGCUUUUCUCUUAGUUAUGUCCGUUUGGAAUUUCCAAGCGAACAACAUUAUACCGUGUAUUUUCUUUUCUUAAAAUAUUUUUCCGUAUCCGUUCGUGACGAACCACAGUAAAAUCGUGAAAUCAUUUUAUGGUAUAUAACCAUGCUUUUUUAUUCAUUACAACGGCACGUCGUGAUAUCAAACCGUAGGUCCGACAUAUCAUAGAAGUACCGAUUUAUUUAUUCAAGUAUAAUCAAACGGAUGCUUCUGGCACGCCAAAGCAUUGUAUCUCGUCACCUCGCCUACUGCUUUUCUUUGCUUUGGGUUGACCAUUCAUUACUUGAAACGACUCGGACUAUUCUCAUGUAAACUACACGUCUAAACUUGCUUCUCUCAAGUUGGAAAAGACGGAUCCAUGUAUCGAAUGCUGCUAACUAGUCGUUUGAAAUGAUUGAUCUUUUGCGCCUUCAUUGUUAGUUUCGACUUCUAGAGAGUGGAUGCUGCGCUGAGUUUAAGUAGGUUUUGCUAAUGUACCAAGAUUGAUGCUUUUUUCCAAGCUUAUCCUCAUGGUUAAAAUCUAACUGGCCUUAUUUCAUGCAGAGUUUCCAGAAACUCAAACUCAUCCAAUUUGCUGCUUCAGGCAAACCCCUCUUUGCAAAUUGGUUUUUCAUCUGAUCUAACUGCGGAUUUGUUGGGUGGUAAAUUAACCUCCAAUGGAAGGGGCGUUGUUGCAGCAAAAGCUGCAGCGAUACCUGGCGGAGGUGAAACUUUGUCUUAUCCUGGUGAUGUUGCUUUGAGCGAGACUCUGAUAGGUGAGGAAUCAGUUGGCAUUCAAUUGCAGCCCGAUGCGGUAGCGGAUGGGGCGCUUGCAGCUGAAACUGCGCCUAUAAGCACUUUUUUCCCAAUCGAAGAUGAUGAAUUUGACUUGGACCAACCCACAGCAGGCUUUGCAUCUAUUCCAGAAGCGAUUGAGGACAUUCGCCAAGGAAAGGUCAGUAUGCUUUCUGUAUUACAUUAUCGAGUUCAUAUUUUAAUUUUUCGUCCGUAAAUGUCUAUGUCAUGAUUGGAACUGAAUUCCAGAUCGUAGUGGUGGUGGAUGAUGAGGACAGAGAGAAUGAGGGUGAUCUUAUACUAGCAGCAGAAAAGGCAACGCCUGAGGCUAUGGCAUUUAUUGUGAAGUAUGGCACUGGGAUUGUUUGUGUGAGCAUGAAAGAGGAAGAUUUGGAGCGCUUGCAACUUCCUUUGAUGAUGAGUGACAGGGAGAGUGAAGAGAACCCUCAGACUGCGUACACUAUAACUGUGGUAUGUACUUUUAUUCCCCUACAUCUGUUUCUCAAUUCAUGAAAUUUUUGUCAAAACUUAUUUGAAGAUAAUUGAUUGGUACUGGUUCCUUCAGGUAGGGAAAAUUUGAACUUUCUGUUUCUUAUCCAAUGAAUUUAUUGUCAAUUCUACUUUGGUUUCUUAGAGAUUUAUGUACUUAAGAAAUGGCCCUUUGGAGAAUAAGACACUUCAGAUUGUUACUUGUCCCCAGUCAGUAGAGGUCUUGAUUUGUGAAGUGUUAUUGGAAAUGAAUUUUAUAAAAAAAUGAUCAAUAAUUCCCACUUUCUUUCAUACUUUAGAAGAACAAUAUUGUUUUCUUCAACUCUUGACGUCCUAAAAGCCUUCGAUCAGCUUAGUUAUUUGUGUCAUGACAUCUGAUUGGCUUUUCUCUUACCUUGUAAUGGAUGGUAAUUAAGAGAUAUUGUUACAGGAUGCAAAGCAUGGGACGACUACAGGCAUAUCAGCACAUGACAGGGCAACGACAGUUUUGGCUCUUGCGUCUAGAGAUUCAAAACCUGAAGAUUUCAACAGGCCAGGACACAUUUUCCCAUUGAAGUACAGGAAGGGUGGUGUCCUGAAAAGAGCUGGUCAUCCGGAGGCUUCUGUUGACCUUGCUAUGUUAGCUGGAAUGGAACCUGUGGCAGUUCUUUGUGAGGUAGUGGAUGACGAUGGCUCCAUUGCAAGAUUACCUAAGCUUCGUGAGUUUGCACAGCAGGAAAAUUUGAAAAUUGUAUCUAUUGCUGAUCUAAUCAAGUAAGUAUUCUCUUCCCAGAAAUCCAAAUGCAAAUAUUUCGUAGGAGUCAAAUCCAAAUUUCAUCUGCAGCUUCCACUUCUUGAGUAUUGGCUGUUUUGGCCAAGAUGUUUUCCAAGCGGCGUCUCCCCUUUUUGGGAGUGGAUAAAUGAAGAAACUUGGAACCCUGGGUGGGGUGGGAAAAAGAGUCUUAUGGGAGGCUGUUGGGCUGUCGUUUUACCUAGCAAAAAGGAGAGAAGCAUGAGCUGUUUUGGUCUAUUCAUGUCUCAAGUUCACUUCAUGCUUUAAGCUUGUGGUUGUUAUUCCCCUCGUCGAUAUCAUGCAGAUCAAUGGUUUGGGUUCCGAAGAGUUGUUUCUCUCAAUUUUUUAUGUGUAUGGUGGUGUUAGAUUAGUAUAUGGGUUCCUCUCUUGCCCGAUGUCUAACUGUAGCAUUUGGUUAUAGGUAGCCAGGAUUCUUGUCAAAGUCAUGCCAAUGAGCUUGUGAUUGCCGUUAUUUUUAUGUACAUUUUCUUGUAUUUACGUUGUUUGAAAACCCAUAUCUAAAUGUCAAUUGACUGUUAACUGAGGCAAAGUUUGAAGUGCAUUCUCGACAUUAUCACUAGGAAAUAAUGGUAGAACAUCUAGAUGGUCAAAGAAGCACUGGUUUGAUGAAUUCUAACUUGUGUAUUGAGAAGCUUCUUAUAUUGUAUGAGUGAGAAAUGAUUUCACUUCUCAUUAGAUGCAUAAAUUUACAGGUACCGCCGGAAAAGAGAUAAAUUAGCUGAACAUGUUGCUGCUGCAAGAUUACCAACAAUGUGGGGGUCAUUCACAGCCCAUUGUUAUAGAUCGUUGGUAGAUGGAAUUGAGCACAUUGUAAUGGUCAAGGUGAGAAAUUAUGAAUUAAUUGCUAAAACCAUUCGAAGAAUUAAGAAACCAAUAAUAGCAUAGUUUCGAAUAAAUUAAUUGUAAACUUUGAGAAUCAUGUUUUUUUUUUUUUUGGUAAAGCUUUGAGAAUCAUGUUCAUAGCAGUGCAUUUUUUUUUUAACAUAACUUCAAUUUGUACUUCAUCUUAUGUACUUCCAGUGCAUGAUUUGUUUGACAUUUUUUUCACUGAAACUGGCUAUAUUGAGAAAUUGAUGGUAUCUUUUAGGUGGAACACCAUGAAAUUUAUAAUGAAAUUUGUUAAAAAAAUGUCAAACCAUGUGUCAAUCAUAAUUUGGAGAACGAAAUUUAUGUUGGCUAACAACGUUGUUUGGACUGGAAUGUUUGACAUCCAGAGGGAUGAUUGUUGGGAUAUUCCUAAAUUGACGAGAACAAUAUUUAUUUUUCACUAACAGUUUAUGAAAUGAUUGAAAAUGGGGCUGUAUAUGUGCGCAAUUGAUAUAGGAAUGCCGUGAUUCUGAUUAAAAAUAGUGUCCUUAAUUUUUCUUAUUUUAUGUUUUGUGUCCUCCCUUCAAACAGCCAUAUUUCUCCUCAUGUGAUUCAGACUUUGUAGUUUAUCAUCUGAACAGGGUGACAUUGGAGAUGGUCAAGAUGUCCUUGUGAGGGUGCACUCGGAAUGCCUCACAGGAGACAUUUUUGGAUCUGCUAGAUGCGACUGUGGCAACCAGCUUGCACUUGCGAUGCAGAAGAUAGAAGCGGCUGGUAGGGGCGUGGUGGCGUACCUCCGAGGGCAUGAAGGAAGAGGCAUAGGUCUGGGGCACAAACUACGUGCCUAUAACCUGCAGGACGAUGGGCGUGACACUGUGGAAGCAAAUGUGGAGCUUGGAUUGCCCGUUGACUCUAGAGAGUACGGAAUUGGUGCUCAGG
rnacentral:lncRNA from 1 species